AAACAGGGGAAUGAGGUUCUCCCUUGGACAAACGUCCUAAACCGCUUCGAUUAUUCAAAGCUGAUGACUUCUGCGU
rnacentral:ncRNA from 1 species